AGCCAGCUGACGAGUCCCAAAUAGGACGAAACGCGCGUCAAAAUGGAU
rfam:Schistosoma haematobium scaffold69_9, whole genome shotgun sequence.